AUUGAACGCUGGCGGCAGGCCUAACACAUGCAAGUCGAACGAGUGGCGGACGGGUGAGUAAUGUCUGGGAAACUGCCUGAUGGAGGGGGAUAACUACUGGAAACGGUAGCUAAUACCGCAUACCAUCAGAUGUGCCCAGAUGGGAUUAGCUAGUUGGUGGGGUAACGGCUCACCAAGGCGACGAUCCCUAGCUGGUCUGAGAGGAUGACCAGCCAACGUGGAACUGAGACACGGUCCAGACUCCAACGGGAGGCAGCAGUGGGAAAUAUUGCACAAUGGGCACAAGCCUGAUGCAGACAUGCCGCGUGUAUUAAGAGGGCCUUCGGGUUGUAAAGUACUUUCAGCGGGGAGGCGUUACCCGCAGAAGAAGCACCGGCUAACGCCGUGCCAGCAGCCGCGGUAAUAC
rnacentral:rRNA from 1 species